rnacentral:rRNA from 1 species
ACGAACGCUGGCGGCACGCUUAACACAUGCAAGUCGAACGAGAGAAGAGGAGCUUGCUUUUCUGAUCUAGUGGCGGACGGGUGAGUAACACGUGAGCAAUCUGCCUUUCAGAGGGGGAUACCGAUUGGAAACGAUCGUUAAUACCGCAUAACAUAAUUGAACCGCAUGAUUUGAUUAUCAAAGAUUUAUCGCUGAAAGAUGAGCUCGCGUCUGAUUAGCUAGUUGGUAAGGUAACGGCUUACCAAGGCGACGAUCAGUAGCCGGACUGAGAGGUUGAUCGGCCACAUUGGGACUGAGACACGGCCCAGACUCCUACGGGAGGCAGCAGUGGGGAAUAUUGCACAAUGGAGGAAACUCUGAUGCAGCGAUGCCGCGUGAGGGAAGAAGGUUUUAGGAUUGUAAACCUCUGUCUUCAGGGACGAAAAAAGACGGUACCUGAGGAGGAAGCUCCGGCUAACUACGUGCCAGCAGCCGCGGUAAUACGUAGGGAGCGAGCGUUGUCCGGAAUUACUGGGUGUAAAGGGAGCGUAGGCGGGAUCGCAAGUCAGAUGUGAAAACUAUGGGCUUAACCCAUAAACUGCAUUUGAAACUGUGGUUCUUGAGUGAAGUAGAGGUAAGCGGAAUUCCUAGUGUAGCGGUGAAAUGCGUAGAUAUUAGGAGGAACAUCAGUGGCGAAGGCGGCUUACUGGGCUUUAACUGACGCUGAGGCUCGAAAGCGUGGGGAGCAAACAGGAUUAGAUACCCUGGUAGUCCACGCCGUAAACGAUGAUUACUAGGUGUUGGAGGAUUGACCCCUUCCGUGCCGCAGCAAACGCAAUAAGUAAUCCACCUGGGGAGUACGACCGCAAGGUUGAAACUCAAAGGAAUUGACGGGGGCCCGCACAAGCAGUGGAGUAUGUGGAUUAAUUCGAAGCAACGCGAAGAACCUUACCAGGUCUUGACAUCGUAUGCAUAGCUCAGAGAUGAGUGAAAUCUCUUCGGAGACAUAUAGACAGGUGGUGCAUGGUUGUCGUCAGCUCGUGUCGUGAGAUGUUGGGUUAAGUCCCGCAACGAGCGCAACCCUUACUGUUAGUUGCUACGCAAGAGCACUCUAGCAGGACUGCCGUUGACAAAACGGAGGAAGGUGGGGAUGACGUCAAAUCAUCAUGCCCCUUAUGACCUGGGCCUCACACGUACUACAAUGGCUGUCAACAGAGGGAUGCAAAGCCGCGAGGUGGAGCGAACCCCUAAAAGCAGUCUUAGUUCGGAUUGUAGGCUGCAACCCGCCUACAUGAAGUCGGAAUUGCUAGUAAUCGCAGAUCAGCAUGCUGCGGUGAAUACGUUCCCGGGCCUUGUACACACCGCCCGUCACGCCAUGGGAGUCGGUAACACCCGAAGCCUGUAGUCUAACCGCAAGGAGGACGCAGUCGAAGGUGGGAUUGAUGACUGGGGUG